rnacentral:rRNA from 1 species
UUGGAGGGCAAGUCUGGUGCCAGCAGCCGCGGUAAUUCCAGCUCCAAUAGCGUAUAUUAAAGUUGCUGCAGUUAAAAAGCUCGUAGUUGAAUUUCGGGACCAUCAUGUCGGUCGUGCCUCGGUACGUACUGGUAUUAUUGGUUUCUCCCUUCUGACGAACCAUGAUGUCAUUAAUUUGAUGUCGUGGAGAAUCAGGACUGUUACUUUGAAAAAUUAGAGUGUUUAAAGCAGGCAUUAGCUUGAAUACAUUAGCAUGGAAUAAUGAAAUAGGACGUUUGAUUCUAUUUUGUUGGUUUCUAGGAUCGACGUAAUGAUUAAUAGGGAUAGUUGGGGGCAUUAGUAUUCAAUUGUCAGAGGUGAAAUUCUUGGAUUUAUUGAAGACUAACUACUGCGAAAGCAUUUGCCAAGGAUGUUUUCAUUAAUCAAGAACGAAAGUUAGGGGAUCGAAGACGAUCAGAUACCGUCGUAGUCUUAACCAUAAACUAUGCCGACUAGGGGAUCGGAUGAUGUAAUUUUUAAU